UACGAAGGGGGCUAGCGUUGUUCGGAGUUACUGGGCGUAAAGAGCGCGUAGGCGGCACGGUACGACCGGUGUGAAAGCCCCCGGCUCAACUGGGGAGGGUCACCGGUAACGGCCGAGCUAUGAGUGCAGGAGAGGGAAGUGGAACUCCGGGAGUAGCGGUGAAAUGCGUAGAGACCCGGAGGAACACCAGUGGCGAAGGCGGCUUCCUGGUCUGCAACUGACGCUGUGGCGCGAAAGCUAGGGGAGCAAACGGG
rnacentral:rRNA from 1 species